AAUGAACGUUGGCGGCGUGGAUUAGGCAUGCAAGUCGUGCGGAAAGGCUCCUUCGGGAGUACUCGAGCGGCGAAAGGGAGAGUAACGCGUGGAUAUCUACCCCCUGGCCUGGGCUAGCGGCGGGAAACUGCCGGUAAUACCAGAUAAAGUCUGCGGACCAAAGGUGUGAUUCCGCCGGGGGAUGGGUUCGCGUCCUAUGAGCUAGUUGGUGGGGUAAUGGCCUACCAAGGCAAAGCUGGGUACCGGGUGUGAGAGCAUGGCCCGGCUCACUGGGACUGAGACACUGCCCAGACACCUACGGGUGGCUGCAGUCGAGAAUCUUCGGCAAUGGGCGCAAGCCUGACCGAGCGACGCCGCGUGCGGGAUGAAGGCCUUCGGGUUGUAAACCGCUGUCAGAGGGGAGGAAAUGCAUGAGAGUUGUCUCUCAUGUUUGACCUAUCCUCAGAGGAAGUACGGGCUAAGUUCGUGCCAGCCGCCGCGGUAACAC
rnacentral:rRNA from 1 species